UAAAUAACAAUCGGAACGUGUCUUCUUGUGGGGGAUAACUAGCCCGAAGACGAGCUAAUACCGCAUGAGACCUGAGGGUGAAAGCGGGGGAUCGCAAGACCUCGCGCUGGAAGAGCGGCCGAUGUCCGAUUAGCUAGUUGGUGAGGUAAAGGCUCACCAAGGCGACGAUCGGUAGCUGGUCUGAGAGGACGACCAGCCACACUGGGACUGAGACACGGCCCAG
rnacentral:rRNA from 1 species